rnacentral:rRNA from 1 species
UUCCGGUUGAUCCUGCCGGACCUUACUGCUAUCGGGGUGGGACUAAGACAUGCGAGUCGAGCGUCUCUAGCUAUGUUGAGACGCGGCAGACGGCUCAGUAACACGUGGCUAACCUACCCUCAGGACGAGGACAAACCCGGGAAACUGGGGCUAAUACUCGAUAGGUGAGUAUGUCUGGAAUGAUUUCUCACUCAAAGGGCUUUAGAAACAUGCUUCUAAAGUCGCCUGGGGAUGGGGCCGCGUCCGAUCAGGUUGUUGGUGAGGUAAUGGCUCACCAAGCCUAUAACCGGUACGGGCCGUGAGAGCGGUAGCCCGGAGAUGGGUACUGAGACAAGGACCCAGGCCCCACGGGGCGCAGCAGUCGCGAAAACUCCGCAAUGCACGAAAGUGUGACGGGGCUACCCCGAGUGCCAUCCGCUGAGGAUGGCUUUUCCUUGGUAUAACUAGCCGAGGGAAUAAGGAGAGGGCAAGACUGGUGUCAGCCGCCCCGGUAAUACCAGCUCUCCGAGUGGUAGGGAUGAUUAUUGGACUUAAAGCGUCCGUAGCCGGCUUAGCAAGUCUCCUGUUAAAUUCAGCGACCUAAUCGUUGAGCCGCGGGAGAUACUACUAGGCUAGGAGGCGGGAGAGGUCGACGGUACUUCUGGGGUAGGGGUGAAAUCCUAUAAUCCCGGGAGGACCACCAGUGGCGAAAGCUGUCGACUAGAACGCGCUCGACGGUGAGGGACGAAAGCUGGGGGAGCGAACCGGAUUAGAUACCCGGGUAGUCCCAGCCGUAAACGAUACGGGCUAGGUGUUGGGGUGGCUACGUGCCACUUCAGUGCCGCAGGGAAGCCAUUAAGCCCGCCGCCUGGGGAGUACGGCCGCAAGGUUGAAACUUAAAGGAAUUGGCGGGGGAGCACCACAAGGCGUGAAGCUUGCGGUUCAAUUGGAUUCAACGCCGGG